rnacentral:lncRNA from 1 species
AACACAGUCGAGGAGUGAGAUCUGGCUUUGAAUCCUGACUUUUCCCCUUGACAGCUCUGUGACCUUGGCCAUGUCACUUAACUUCCCUCCGCUUCAAUGUCUUCAUCUACAAACCAGGAAUAAUAGUAUAUAUCACAAAAUGUAUCUAAGAUACAAAUGAGACACUGUGAAGUCCUUGGCACAGGACUUAUAAAAGAAGUAGAACACACAUGCUUCCCAUUAGGUGAGAAAGAAACAUGCCUGAGAGUCUAAUGGAUUACUCAAGUCUGUGCUGCCAAGGAAGAACAGAAUCUUUAGGAUAUCAUGUGUUUUACAAAUUGAAGUUUGUGGAAACCCUGCAUCAAACAAGUCUAUUGGUGACAUUUUCCCAACAGCAUUUGCUCACUUUGUGUUUCUGUGUCACAUGUUGAUAAUUCUUACAAUAUUUGGGUCUUCUGUGCAAAGUUGUG